UCAAACUUGGUCAUUUAGAGGAAGUAAAAGUCGUAACAAGGUUUCCGUAGGUGAACCUGCGGAAGGAUCAUUAUCGAGUUCGGGGCUUUGGCUCCAACUUCCAACCCUUGCUUAUCAGUCCAUGUUGCUUUGGCGGGUGCUCCCCCAGGGGACUCUCCCGCCAGAGGUCUUUGCAAACUCAGCUUGAAAACGUGCAGUCUGAACAAAAACAUAAUCGCAAAAAACUUUCAACAACGGAUCUCUUGGUUCUGGCAUCGAUGAAGAACGCAGC
rnacentral:misc_RNA from 1 species